GAAGAAGAAGAAGAAGAAGUAAAAAAAAAUGUGCUGAGCGCUCUGCUCCUGUGUGUUCAUGUCCUCAGGCGCUAUGAACCGGAGCAAGGACUAAGCACGCCUCAUAAUGAGGCGGUGACCUAUUUGUUCGGAGCAAUAACUGCAAGUCCAGAUUUACACGAUGUUGAUAAAGACGACAUUGUGUCCGCCUGUAAGACGUAUUAUGAGACGGUACGCAGGAGC